rnacentral:rRNA from 1 species
ACGAACGCUGGCGGCGUGCCUCACACAUGCAAGUCGAGCGAAUGAAGUUCCUUCGGGAAUGGAUUUAGCGGCGGACGGGUGAGUAACACGUGGGCAACCUGCCUCAUAGAGGGGAAUAGCCUUCCGAAAGGGAGAUUAAUACCGCAUAAGAUUGUAGUAUCGCAUGAUACAGCAAUUAAAGGAGCAAUCCGCUAUGAGAUGGGCCCGCGGCGCAUUAGCUAGUUGGUGAGGUAACGGCCCACCAAGGCGACGAUGCGUAGCCGACCUGAGAGGGUGAUCGGCCACAUUGGGACUGAGACACGGCCCAGACUCCUACGGGAGGCAGCAGUGGGGAAUAUUGCACAAUGGGGGAAACCCUGAUGCAGCAACGCCGCGUGAGUGAUGACGGCCUUCGGGUUGUAAAGCUCUGUCUUCAGGGACGAUAAUGACGGUACCUGAGGAGGAAGCCACGGCUAACUACGUG